CCUACGGGAGGCAGCAGUGAGGAAUAUUGGUCAAUGGACGCAAGUCUGAACCAGCCAAGUAGCGUGCAGGAUGACGGCCCUCCGGGUUGUAAACUGCUUUUAGUUGGGAAUAAAAGGGGGCUCGUGAGCCCCGUAUUGUAUGUACCAUCAGAAAAAGGACCGGCUAAUUCCGUGCCAGAAGCCGCGGUAAUACGGAAGGUUCGGGCGUUAUCCGGAUUUAUUGGGUUUAAAGGGAGCGUAGGCCGGCGUUUAAGUCAGAUGUGAAAGUGCGCGGCUCAACCGUGGAAUUGCAGUUGAAACUGGAGGCCGUGAGUGCACACAGGGAUGCCGGAAUUCAUGGUGUAGCGGUGAAAUGCUUAGAUAUCAUGAAGAACUCCGAUCGCGAAGGCAGGUGUCCGGGGUGCAACUGACGCUGAGGCUCGAAAGUGCGGGUAUCAAACAGGAUUAGAUACCCUAGUAGUC
rnacentral:rRNA from 1 species